UUACCGUGGGUAAAAUCUCACUAGUGAAACUACUUUUUUAGAGUUUUGUUAAGCAAAGAUAUUUUCAUAACAUGAAAAUGGCAUAUAAUCAUUAGAGUUUAGCUAAUUUGGUUUCAACAAAUUCUAAACAGAAAGGCUAAGUCUCAGAGUAGUACUAUUCUCUGGUAAUAGCGGCCAGGUUCAGUAUUUGACUUUUAUUUGUAACUGUGAUUAUAAACUUUUAUCAGAAUCUACUAAGGUACAUUUUUUCCACUAACUUAAUCCUGUUUUUCUGAGACCAGAGUUUCUGAUACAUAUCUUUUGCAGAAAACAUCAUAAUGCCUUAUGUUUUAUGCAUUUAAUAUUUUCAAAGCAUUUUAUACAUUUAUCUUCAUCUAACUCCUAUGAAACAAAAAAGGGAUAUGAUUUGUCCAGGGUCAUAUGGCUAACAUGUACCAGAUGUGAGACUACCGUAUAGUUCCAAUGCUGUAAACUCUUAUCAAGUAAAUCUUUCUAUACCAUGAACUUUCCUGGGUAUCAUUAAUUCUUUAUUAUUUAGUGCUGCUUCAACUUUCCCAUUUUCACACUGUUUCAAGCCUUUUCCAUUGUUUAGAAAACCUUUUAUUCCCCACUGCGGUCCUCAGCAUAUGACCCUUACCUCCUAUUUUAUAGAAAUAGAAGCCAGAGCCAUCUGUCUGACCAGAUUCAGAUAAAUGCUUAACAGUGCUGCAGAGGGUAUUUAUCUUUUCUAAUGCAUGAUUGAGCUGGGUAAGUAAAGAAAUUCCUCAGAGCCAAAAACCACCACCAAAAAAAAAAAAGUACAGAAUGACAAAAUACCACACAGAUGUUUGUCUUAGGGGUUGCAAGUGGUUAUCAACUGCUUCCUGUUAGCCCACAGCCCAAAUUUUCAUUUUGUGUGCUGGGUGUAUAGGCAAGUGACAUUGGAGGCCUAUACUUGGUGGUGAGGUCUAAUGUGAGACCUCUUCCCCUUACCAUAAGUCCAGAAUCCUUACAGUAUACACCUUCAAUUGAUGAACUAGGAAAAUAAGCAGAUCUUCAGAGCUUGAUAGUGGGAUUUGGACCUGUCUCUGCCUUGUAUCUGGGUGCAAGGGGUAACAAAUUGGGGAAAGAAAAGUCUUCCCUGAGAAUGUAUAAGAAGCUACCUAUUGAGUAAGUUUAAAGCCAGAGUUCACAUCAGUUCUGUGAUUUUAGGGGUGGGUAGGUAGGCCCAACCUGAAAAUGUGAAGUUAUCCUUGCCUGGUAAUAAUCUCAAGCACCUAGAAGGAACGAAUAUAAAUCAUCUGUGGAGGAUUGUACUUUAAACCCACAAUCCUGACAGAUAAAAUUCCAAGGAAAAUGAGCCCAAAAAAUCACACUGGGGAAUCUUACCUACAAAGAUGACAGAUAUCAGAAUUAUCAAAUGCAUACAGGUUGAGCAUCCCUAGUAAAAAAUCUGGAAUUGAAAAUGCUCCAAAAUCUGAAAAUUUUUGAAUACCAUUAUGACACCACAAG
rnacentral:lncRNA from 1 species